AAGCCCAUGGAAAUGGCAUAGUCUUAACAAGUAUUUAUAACGCUCCCACGCCUCAAACAAGGAUUCCCCAUCUUCUUUCCUAAAGUUAUUGAUCUUAUUCCUAACUU